CCCCGCUCCCAGGCUCUGGCGCUCGCCGAGGUCUCCGGCUCCACGCGCUUCAGCAGCCAGCGCUGCGGCCCCGAACUUGAUCACUCUAAUGGAGGCUUCCGAGCUGGAAGUCAAGCUGUCCCCGUAACCCCAAGCUGGGCCAGGGGUUCCCAGUCCGUGGAAGUAGCAAGUUUCAUCAUCUCUACGAGGACACAAAGUACAACUGUGGCGGCUCACUUGUCCACCUGACCUUUAGGAGCAAGAGAAAAGAGGCGGGAGUGUCCCUGGAUCCCAGCAACCCCCACUCCGGCGAUGGUGGCACAACGAUGCCUAGGCCUGAAGAGGGCCUCCAGGCCGAGAACUCAGCGAGGCCCGGCGGUCGCCCCAGCCCAGGCCUCUCGAGCCUGCCCAUUUCCCGACCCCAUUCCCGCACCCUUGGCCUUUUCUUUUCUCUUUUCUGCUUCCCGAAGCCACCGUGCUCAGCCGAGCGGACGCACUGCCCCAGCCUGGAGAGGCCCGAGUAAACACGCCACUUACUUUGUGUACAGAGGCUUCUUGUGAAAAGCUCUGAAGAGUCCUCACCAAACACUCUCCAACUUCUCCCACGUGCCAUUUGUUGACUAAGUGCGGCUGCUUUUCCAGGCCAUCGAAAGGAGGGGAAGACAAGAGGGGAGGGGAAGUAGUGGAAGCCUGAGGGUGGGGGUGGGGUUUGACCAAUGCUGGGAGAGAUUCUGCGAGUGUGUGCCCCCGCCGGCUUUCUUGGUGUGUCAACGUGUGUCGUUGUGAGGAACCGGUUAUCUGUGUGUGGUGCUUAUGUAUUCCCGCCAAGACUCCCUUCUCUUGGGUCAGCUCAGUCCACGGAGGCAAUUCCCCUUCAACUGUUGCCAGAAAAACGGCGAGGAAAGCUGCACUGACGAGUCCCCGUGGGAAUUGGAACCAGAUGGACGCUGCAGGCUGCCUCUGAGCCUGAUGUGGUCAUCCUAGUCUAGCCCUUGCCUGGGACCCAGCAAUACAGUACCACCAAGGAGCCUUAGCAGAGUUCCGGGAACAGAAGAGGCCUUCCGUUACCCGAGUCAGAGUGCAAGGAACGGGACGUUUCAGCUGAUGUCUUGUUUUCCUCACUUGGUGUUUCUUCUGCAAUGCCCAGCAACACCCCGCCCGCCUCUGCCGUCUUUCCGGAGCCUGUGUGUACACUAUGAAUUUCAAUAAAUAUAAAUUACUGCCUAAAAGAGCAAAGACUGGUUACCCCAUGGCUCAUUGUUCUUGCUCUACAGACAGUUCAAAAAAAUUAUUUUACAAACUCCAUUGUAGCCAUUUCCCCUCAAUUCCAUGAUGAAAGCGGAUGGCAAAUGCCAUUCAAUCUAGAGGAGCUCAAGCCCAGAGAACAUAGAUUUGUUCAAAGCCUCUGUCAAGUCUAUUUUUAGACUUGGAAACAGAACUAGUCUGGAGGCCACAUCAGCACACAUAUCUGACUGACUCC
ensembl:lncRNA